AGUUCAGGAGGGACAAGGACGUGGAAGGAGCCCAGCAGAGGGCACCCGGGACCCCCGCGGCCGGGCCGAGUUUGAAGGGAGCCCCUCUCCCCCUCCCCCUGGCGGAGCCCCCUGUAGGGUCUGACCUGGUGCCCCGCAACAGGAGCGGGAGGAGGAGCAGGCCCAGAGCGGCCGGGCCCCAGCCUAGAGGGGCGCUCGAGGGGAAGCGAGUGAAGUGAGGGCUCCGCCAGAGCAGCACCCCCUUCCCCGCCGUCCCUCCCGGACUGGCCGGUUCUCGUCAGAGAUUCCUUUGUCUUCGACGCUGGUCCCUCCACACCAAGAUGAAGAAAUUGAGAAACAGAAAGUAUGAUGAUUUGCUUAAGACCAGAUGACAAUUAUCUGCAGAAUGAAGACAAUCCUGACCUCCAUCAGUGGAUCCCUUCGCCACCUCCACAGUCUCCCCAUUGCAUGGACACAGACACAUGACAGAUGCACACAUAUGUGCAAAACACUUAUACAGAACACACUCCUCCACCUCCACCUCACUACCACGCAAUCCCAAGACAGCAUUGCCCUUCUCUGGACCCAGCCACUCGGUCAACACAUAUUUACGAACAUUAUGCUAGGCACUGGCAAUAAAAUAAUGAACACCAGAAGACACAGUUCCUGAGUCUCACAGAGAUGACCCAGGAUCAUUCAGAGUCUAGGAUGAGGCAGGGAUUAGGUGGGGAUGAGGAUGAUAAGAGCAGCGUUGGGGAAGUACAGGAUAAGAUGAGAACACACACCAAGGGCACCUAACUUUUUCUCUGGAGGACCAG
rnacentral:lncRNA from 1 species